CUGGCUCAGGACGAACGCUGGCGGCGUGCCUAAUACAUGCAAGUCGAGCGGACUUUCCCUUCGGGGAAGGUUAGCGGCGGACGGGUGAGUAACACGUAGGCAACCUGCCUGCAAGACCGGGAUAACAUUCGGAAACGAAUGCUAAUACCGGAUACG
rnacentral:rRNA from 1 species